GCCGGGUUAGCUCAGUUGGUUAGAACAUGGCGCUAAUAAUGCCAAGAUCACAGGUUCAAUCCCUGCUCACUGCA
rfam:Pelecanus crispus contig6421, whole genome shotgun sequence.